AUUCCUAUUUGUGGUCCUUGGCAAGAGGAGAUGAGGUGGGAUGGAGACAGGGAAUGGGGUGGAGGGCUGAACAGGGUAUCAAGGGCUAGCCCUGUCCUCCAUGUUCCCAGGUAAACAUGUGUUAUUAUAAAAUUCAUUAUGAUUGGUGAAUCCAAACAGUUGGCCACUCAUUGGCUUUUAUGCACAUGAUAAAAGUAGAGUUAGAUUUGCUAUUCAUAUAUAACCUCGGCAUUAAUAAAUGCAAUGUAUAGCCUAAUUAUACAACUUUUAAUGAAUAAGUAAGGGAAUCUUAGGAUUCCAACCCCACAGCUCUAUCCCACCAAUCCUCUCUUCACGAGGUUUUAUAAAGGGGCGGAGACAUGCUUCAGCCCUGCUUCUAUUGGUCCCCCCUUCCUCUGCCUGUAAGUUGUUGCCACGCCCCUCAUGUUUUGCGGCUCAGUAUGACGUCACUCCACAAAAGAGGCUGCUGCAUGUAAUUUUCAAAGGAAACACAUAUUAUAUAGAGAAAUAUAUAUAUAGAAAUAGAUGGCUAUGAUUUUAUUAUUUUCUAUUAUCAUUUUACUUCAUGACUCGCACAGGAGAUAUUUGUAUGUACCGUCUCUGCCAAGCAUCUUCUACAUAUUACACCUCCGCACUCCACAAGACAGUGGUGUUGUACGACGUUAACUAAUCCUCUUAGAUAUUUGUAAAUGCUACAGUGUGAUGCCCUUGAACGCAACUUUGUUUGAUUUCAUUUGAUCGAAGUAUUGUUUUUGUUUUCGAGAACAAGUAAAGAAAAGAAAAUGGAGAAAAAAAAAUAUUUGUGUCUGGCUUUGACAUUAUGAUCUAACUAACAGUGUAAUAUUGUAACUGAAAUAUGUAUGAUCCUACAAUGAGCUUUUUGCCUCCCUUUCACCCCCUUUCAACAGAAAAAAAGGAAAAACUAUGAAAAAAAUGUAUUCCAAUGUAAAAAAAUGGUAUAUGUAUUGUAUGCUUGUAUUUAGUGAGCGUUCACGCUGUCAUUCUUUAUCAGUGUAUGGUGGUGACCAAUGGUGGCGCUGUACUGUCCCACUGGUCAGUACAGAUCUGUUGUAAAACCUUUUUUGUACACCUGC
ensembl:lncRNA